rnacentral:lncRNA from 15 species
UAUUAGAGCAGAAAGAAAACCGGUAGUGGCAUUGUUCAACCAACUGCUUGAGGAGAGUGGAUUAAUUGACAAUCAGAGACUAGCAGUUUUGCAGUAGAGUUUCCAGUAUUCUGUCGAGGAGUUACUUUCGUGGAUGAAGCUAUAGGGGUUAAACAGUUGUUGAGAUGAGAAAGAGUUCUGGUGCUCUAUGGAGCAUUUGAGUAGAGGAAGCUGGUACCAUUGUUUGUCUUCGUAGCAACAAAUAGUUGUUAGCAGUCCUAGUUGGGACCAGCUGUCAAUGUGUAGUUCUCUCAGGAAGGAUUCUUUUGAUAUUCAGAAUUUUGGAGCUGAAAUAGAGGAACCACAACGCCAAAUGCUAAAAAGGAAACAGCAGUCUAGUUCUAUUCAAUUGAUCUAAAUCCGGUUCUUGUAGAAUAUGAUGGUUUCAGAUCAAACCAACAGAAAAUAAGUGAGUUAGCUACUCAAGUGAAUAAUUCAACAGUCAAUUUUGAGAUGCAGUUAAACAUUACCAUGAACUGAUCAGGAAACACUGAACAUUCCUGUUUUGUGAUAAAACCAACUGGUCAUAUAUGUUCAUUGAAUGUCUGUCAAAAUCCAGUAAUCUUGACCAAGAUUAUUUUUUCUGGAAAGGAAUUUGUCAUGCACUAGGACGUUUCUCUAGUUGGUGACAUUGUAACAGCAGUCGACCGAUUCACAUAUUAUGAUGGACAUGGACUUCAAUCUUGCAGAGCACUAAGGCAUUGCAAGUAUUGCUUUGAUGACAUUACUUGAAACAGAUUGGACCACUUGGAGGUUGUCAUAUUAAAGGUUAGCAUAUUGCUUCAAAUAAUACACUACAAAUACAGUUCUACCAAUCACUUUUUUCCUUCGAUACGUUCAUUUCUAACUUUUAUUUUGUAAAUUAGAUUUCCCACAGACUGUAAUAUAAGGAAUAUGUCUUUAAUCACAGAUAACCAUGUUAAAGUUUGGAAAGAAGGCUGUAUUUAAAUGCACUAUGGCAAAAUUCUUCCUUUCAUCACAAUACUUCUUGUAGAUGGAUACCAAGUUACGGCAGUAUCCUUAAUGCAAGGGCAAGAAGCAACCUUACAUUUCCCAUACCCAUGUGACAGCACAGAAGUCACAUUACAGCAUUCGAACGGAGUCCCAUUUUAUAAAUUGACAGAUGGGUCAACGCUGUUGUUGCCUGGAGUUCAGCUCCAUAGAUUCAAAGUGCAGAAUAGAAACAAAAAUGGAAACUGCUCUCUGGAUCUUACAAUAACUAAUCUAAUGAGAUUUGAUGCAGGGAAAUACAUCUCAUUGGUUUACAAGGACGGGCAGUCAAUUGCUGAUUACACAACAAGAGUUGAAUUGCAAAUAGACUAUCCUCCUGGUAAGGCAUCAUGUGAUGUGAGUGAAGAAAAGGGUGGAGACUGGGUCUCAAUAGACUGUACAGCCAAGGUUGGGAGUCUAUCAGGGAAGAUUGAAUGCUAUCAGGAUGGUGUAUGGAUUCCUCCCCUAACUGAUCCUACUGAAACUGACACAACUUUGAAACAGAAGAUAAACAUUACAACAAAUCAGCCAGUAUUUUGUUGCUCUUCCGCUUUGAUUGAGUACAAAGAAAGAUGUGAAUGUAAUGAUACUGCAUUGUAUCUAGAUGAUGCCAUUAUCAGUGACCCAUGUCCAACCAUAUCAACAGAAACAUCAACAAUUUCUAUUGACAAAACCCAAGAUCUGGGCGAGAAAAGUCAGUCUUCGAACACUUCAAACUAUACCUUACCAUCACACACGACAUCAACGAAUGCCAACAAAAUGUACAAACCCUUUUUGAUAGCAAUAAUCAUAUAUUAUAUUACGAUAGCUAAUCUGAUCAGGAUGUUCAUACGGAAUGCAAUUCACUUCUAUCAAUUGAGGCAGGAACGCAAAAACAAUAGUAAUGAUGAGUCACAUAAUUUGAAAGCAAUAAUCUUAUAUUAUAUUUCAGGGAUUGGUCUGGCCAUAUUGAUGAUAUUGAAUACAAUUUCCGUCUAUCAAAUGUGGCCGGAAAACAAAAAUAAUAGUAAUGAUAGUGAGUCACAUAAGAAAGCAAUAUUCAUAUAUGUAUAUUAUAUUUCCGCAACUGGUGUGAUCAUAUUGUUCCUAUUAAAUUCAUUUCAAAGUAAUCAACUGAUUCAGGAACGCAAACAAAAUAGUAAUGGUGAGUCACAAAAGCCUUUAUUAUCAGGAAAUGUUCAUUAUCAUAUGCUCAACAAUGCGAAACUGAUAAAUUAAAUCAAAUGAUGAUGCAGGAAUUAGAAACUCACAAAACACAAAAUAUGCAUAGGGAAAACAAAUC